UUUUUUGUUUGUUUUGCUCUCUUUUAGGCUGGUCAGCAAGGAAUUGAGAGUAGAGCUGAGACAAUCUAAAGACUUCUGGGUGGCUUGUGGACUCCUGGAGUUCAGGGCAAUUUGAGCACCAGCCCAAAAGGGACUCAGCAAUAAGAGAGCUGAAGAGGAGGAAAUUUCUUCACCAUCCCCAUUUCAGAGGAGAAGGAUGGGAGGGAGGAGGAACUGGCCAUCUCUUUAAAUGAGUCACAGAGUUCAUGGUUUAAUUUGUCUCUUCUAAAGCUGGAGGCCAGGGACAACAAACAAUCUAAUUCUUCAGGGACAAAAGAAAGCACAAUCAUAAAGCAUACAUGGGGGCUUCCCUGGUGGCCUGCCGAUGCAGGGGACACAGGUUCGUGCCCCUGUCCGGGAAGAUCCCACAUGCUGCGGAGCGGCUGGGCCCAUGAGCC